rnacentral:rRNA from 1 species
AUUGAACGCUGGCGGCAGGCCUAACACAUGCAAGUCGAGCGGAGCGGCGGACGGGUGAGUAAUGCCUAGGAAGCUGCCUGGCAGUGGGGGAUAACGUCCGGCCACGGGCGCUAAUACCGCAUACUAUCAGAUGAGCCUAGGUCGGAGUAGCUAGGUGGUGGGUUAGAGGCAUACCAAGGCGACGAUCGGUAACUGGGCUGAGAGGCUGUUCAGUCACACUGGAACUGAGCCACGGGCCAGCAUCCUACGGGAAGCAGCAGUGGGGAAGAGUGGACAAUGGGCGAAAGGCUGAUCCAGCCAUGCGGCGUGUGUGAAGAAGGCGUGCGGAUGGUAAAGGACUUUGAGUUGGGAGGCGUUACCGAUAGAAUAAGCCCCGGCUAACUUCGUGCCAGCAGCCGCGGUAAUAC